UAACAGCCAGUUUCAUAAAGUUGCUCUCAUUCAACGAUACAUCAAGUAGCGAUCGAAAUGAUCAAUAAACUGCUCAUUCCGUGCGUCAUAUUUCUUUUUGUAGUUCAGAGUACAUUAGUAGCAGGCUUGUAUGACAGAUGCCAUUUCCAGUACCAGGCCGACUGUCAUUCCCAUUGCAGGGGUGGUAACUGCAUUUAUGGCGAAUCUUUUCGCGAGGGAAUUUCAUGGAGAUGUUCACCAUGUAGUAUAUAAUAUGUGACUUGUCCAUACAGUGGUGACGUCAGAAAAGAAAUAAUUGAUUGGAAUGCUUCCGCCAAUACAAAAAAUGACAUUACAAGUUUGUUAUAUUGGAAUACAUAAUCGUUUUUAAAUGUUAUCGUACAUCGAUUGUUACAGGAAUUCAUUAUAAGGUAAUACUUAAUUUUUAUCUACUCCGUGCCCGAAAACUCGAUGUACGCACGCUCAGGAAAGCAAGAGUGCUUCGAAUUUCGUCUCGUACAUGUUGUAUCGAAAAAUAAUGAACGUUUGUAUUAAGAAAAUAACAUGUAAAAAUGUACAGAUUAUCAAUGGACUGUUAAGGUGACAGAGCCAAUUAAAAUUUGCAAUCUGUGUAUGUGAUGAAAAUAUAAAUUAUCUGAAAUACUUUGCA